rnacentral:lncRNA from 10 species
GGGUUUUUUGUUUUUUGUUUUUCGUCUAAAACAGCCUACAGAAUCCUGGCCUUGGCUUUCUCACCAGACUUCUGGGAAGGUCAAAUGAGAUAAUAUAUGCAAAAGCACUCUGUCAGUGAAAAGUGCUCUGUUUCUGGUCUAAUAACCCUCCCCAACCCACUCACAGUUCUUCAUUUUCAAAUUCCUUAGUGAGCAGUUGGUUUCGUUGUCUUAAUUUGGGGCAGUAAUGAUUUCUGAGAAGCAGGUGAUUGAUAACGCGCAAAUUCAAAGCCCCUUGGGGGCUGCAUUGUAGCAUGGUGUGGGGAUGGGGAGACAGAGGGCUGGUAGGAUCCCGAAUUCCUAGUUUUUCUCUCCCUCUCCCUUGCUUCUUCAUUUUCUUCCUUCAGGCUUUCUUCCAUUUCUUUCUUCCAUCAAAUAUUUGUGGAGCUGGAACUGGGCUUCACUAUCAUAUUCCAAGGCCCUGUACUGGGAACAGACAAAGAAGCUCCUCCCAGAGACUGGAAGAAUGGUACAAGGUGUGAAAACCAAGGCUUAAAGCAUGCAAGUUAUUUGCCCGAGGUUUUUCAGCCACAAAUGAAGAAGCUGGGUCUGCUCCACACCUGUGAACCAGGCUAUUUCCACCAUAACCUGAACUCAGAUGAGCACCAGCCCAUGGAGAAUAGUCCAGAAGGCUGCCCAUAGCCUUAAAGGACAGUGUGAGCAUUAAUCACAGCCUGUUGCAUUUGAAGACCACCUCCGGAACAAUGUCGUUUUAAAUCUAUGCCCAAGGCUGAACUUGGAUUGGAAAGAUGGGAGAGACAGCAGGCCUGGGUGUAUUCAGGAUUAUUUCCUAAUAACUCACUCUCUCCUCCCUCCUCCCUUUCUUGAAACAGCCUCACAAAAUGAGUGUUAUAUUCUGGAUUAUCAGAAGAGAAAUGUGAGAUGCAGGCAGGUUGAGAAAAUUGCUCCAAGUCACUUCGGGAAUGUGUGCAUGGACAAGGAGGUUCUUAUUUCCCCCUCAUUGAGUCUGGGCUGGCCGUGUGGCUGUUCAACCAACAGAAAGCAGCAGAAGUGUACUGUGCAGUCCGGGGCCCAGGCUUUUAGAGAACUGUGGCUUUCUCUGCCUCCUUCUUGGAAUCCACUUACCAUGUUGAGAGGGGCCCAAGCCACAUAGAGGCCAACAGCCAAGUAUUUGCAGCCAUCUGGGUGAGCCAUCUAGGACAUUCCACGCCAAUCAGACCCCUGGAUUGGAGCAGUGGAGCAGACAUGGAGCAGAUGCAGCCCAGCGAAGGCCAGUAUCACAGGCCAGAACAAAAUGUUUUAAGCCAUUAAAUUUUGGUGUGACUUGCUCUGCAGCCAGAUAACUGAAAUAGGUGUAACCGAAAAGUCCGUAAGAAGGAAGAUUUACCUUGCUGACCAAUGCAGAAUAACAAAGCACAGGAAAUAACAUUUGCUGGGUCGGAAGACAACUGUCUGGAACAGGUGAUGACAUCCUUAGCCUUUAGUAGGUUUUGACUUCAAAACUGACCCCGGCUUUCAUGCCUCUUUUUGAUGCUCAACACGGACAAUUUCAAAAAGAAAAAAUUUCACUUUAAUCCAGCCUCACCCCCACAUGUGUGUUUCACACAGACCUUAUUUUUUAAACAGAGU